rnacentral:rRNA from 1 species
AGUGAACGCUGGCGGUAGGCCUAACACAUGCAAGUCGAACGCGAAAGUCCUUCGGAUGAGUAGAGUGGCGGACGGGUGAGUAACGCGUAGGAAUCUAUCCUGUAGUGGGGGAGUAACGUUUCGAAAGGAACGCUAAUACCGCAUACGCCCCAAGGGGGAAAGGCGGGGGAGUCUUCGGACCUCGUGCUAUAGGAGGAGCCUGCGUCGGAUUAGCUAGUUGGUGAGGUAAAGGCUCACCAAGGCGACGAUCCGUAGCUGGUCUGAGAGGAUGAUCAGCCACACCGGAACUGAGACACGGCCCAGACUCCUACGGGAGGCAGCAGUGGGGAAUAUUGCGCAAUGGGGGAAACCCUGACGCAGCAACGCCGCGUGUGUGAAGAAGGCCUCGGUCGUAAGACACUG